rnacentral:lncRNA from 10 species
GGGACUCCUAAAAAUGCCUUCAUUUUUCUAUCCUCCUCCUCUGUUCUCUCUUCGCUAACAGAUAAUUAUGUCUCGGUACUACAGGAUACUCCCCUCAGAUGCAUCCUUCAAACCGGAAAGAGUUAAUUUCCCAAACCUUAAACUGAUUGGUUUAGGAUUGGUCUCAGGGGAAGGGAAUCCAAAAGCCCAACCUGCCAGCGAAAAGUGUCUGCGAGUCUAAUCUCUGACGAAGAACCUGGCUGUCAGCCGAACUAAGGAAAAAGUCCUACAACUGUGAUACUUGCCUAUGCCUGGUGAAUUCCAUCUCAGCUUCAAAAAGUUGAUGAUUUCUGGCUAGGAAGCUGCCCUUUUAUCAUUAUUCUAAAAGAACUGACAUUAAUAAUCUAUUACUUUUUAAUGAAAUGUAAACAAUAGAAAGCCU